rnacentral:rRNA from 1 species
ACUAUCGUUAACUGAAUACAUAGGUUAACGAGGCGAACCGGGGGAACUGAAACAUCUAAGUACCCCGAGGAAAAGAAAUCAACCGAGAUUCCCCCAGUAGCGGCGAGCGAACGGGGAGCAGCCCAGAGUCUGAAUCAGCUUGUGUGUUAGUGGAACGGUCUGGAAAGUCCGACGGUACAGGGUGAUAGUCCCGUACACCAAAAUGCACAGGCUGUGAACUCGAAGAGUAGGGCGGGACACGUGGUAUCCUGUCUGAAUAUGGGGGGACCAUCCUCCAAGGCUAAAUACUCCUGACUGACCGAUAGUGAACCAGUACCGUGAGGGAAAGGCGAAAAGAACCCCGGCGAGGGGAGUGAAAAAGAACCUGAAACCGUGUACGUACAAGCAGUGGGAGCACCUUCGGGUGUGACUGCGUACCUUUUGUAUAAUGGGUCAGCGACUUAUAUUCUGUAGCAAGGUUAACCGUAUAGGGGAGCCGCAGGGAAACCGAGUCUUAACUGGGCGUUAAGUUGCAGGGUAUAGACCCGAAACCCGGUGAUCUAGCCAUGGGCAGGUUGAAGGUUGGGUAACACUAACUGGAGGACCGAACCGACUAAUGUUGAAAAAUUAGCGGAUGACUUGUGGCUGGGGGUGAAAGGCCAAUCAAACCGGGAGAUAGCUGGUUCUCCCCGAAAGCUAUUUAGGUAGCGCCUCGUGAACUCAUCUUCGGGGGUAGAGCACUGUUUCGGCUAGGGGGUCAUCCCGACUUACCAACCCGAUGCAAACUACGAAUACCGAAGAAUGUUAUCACGGGAGACACACGGCGGGUGCUAACGUCCGUCGUGAAGAGGGAAACAACCCAGACCGCCAGCUAAGGUCCCAAAGUCAUGGUUAAGUGGGAAACGAUGUGGGAAGGCACAGACAGCCAGGAUGUUGGCUUAGAAGCAGCCAUCAUUUAAAGAAAGCGUAAUAGCUCACUGGUCGAGUCGGCCUGCGCGGAAGAUGUAACGGGGCUAAACCAUGCACCGAAGCUGCGGCAGCGACACUAUGUGUUGUUGGGUAGGGGAGCGUUCUGUAAGCCUGCGAAGGUGUGCUGUGAGGCAUGCUGGAGGUAUCAGAAGUGCGAAUGCUGACAUAAGUAACGAUAAAGCGGGUGAAAAGCCCGCUCGCCGGAAGACCAAGGGUUCCUGUCCAACGUUAAUCGGGGCAGGGUGAGUCGACCCCUAAGGCGAGGCCGAAAGGCGUAGUCGAUGGGAAACAGGUUAAUAUUCCUGUACUUGGUGUUACUGCGAAGGGGGGACGGAGAAGGCUAUGUUAGCCGGGCGACGGUUGUCCCGGUUUAAGCAUGUAGGCUGGUUAUCCAGGCAAAUCCGGAUAAUCAAGGCUGAGGUGUGAUGACGAGGCACUACGGUGCUGAAGUAACAAAUGCCCUGCUUCCAGGAAAAGCCUCUAAGCAUCAGGUAACAUCAAAUCGUACCCCAAACCGACACAGGUGGUCAGGUAGAGAAUACCAAGGCGCUUGAGAGAACUCGGGUGAAGGAACUAGGCAAAAUGGUGCCGUAACUUCGGGAGAAGGCACGCUGGUGUGUAGGUGAAGUCCCUGCGGAUGGAGCUGAGACCAGUCGAAGAUACCAGCUGGCUGCAACUGUUUAUUAAAAACACAGCACUGUGCAAACACGAAAGUGGACGUAUACGGUGUGACGCCUGCCCGGUGCCGGAAGGUUAAUUGAUGGGGUUAUCCGUAAGGAGAAGCUCUUGAUCGAAGCCCCGGUAAACGGCGGCCGUAACUAUAACGGUCCUAAGGUAGCGAAAUUCCUUGUCGGGUAAGUUCCGACCUGCACGAAUGGCGUAAUGAUGGCCAGGCUGUCUCCACCCGAGACUCAGUGAAAUUGAACUCGCUGUGAAGAUGCAGUGUACCCGCGGCAAGACGGAAAGACCCCGUGAACCUUUACUAUAGCUUGACACUGAACAUUGAGCCUUGAUGUGUAGGAUAGGUGGGAGGCUUUGAAGCGUGGACGCCAGUCUGCGUGGAGCCAACCUUGAAAUACCACCCUUUAAUGUUUGAUGUUCUAACGUUGGCCCCUGACCGGGGUUGCGGACAGUGUCUGGUGGGUAGUUUGACUGGGGCGGUCUCCUCCCAAAGCGUAACGGAGGAGCACGAAGGUUAGCUAAUCCUGGUCGGACAUCAGGAGGUUAGUGCAAUGGCAUAAGCUAGCUUGACUGCGAGCGUGACGGCGCGAGCAGGUGCGAAAGCAGGUCAUAGUGAUCCGGUGGUUCUGAAUGGAAGGGCCAUCGCUCAACGGAUAAAAGGUACUCCGGGGAUAACAGGCUGAUACCGCCCAAGAGUUCAUAUCGACGGCGGUGUUUGGCACCUCGAUGUCGGCUCAUCACAUCCUGGGGCUGAAGUAGGUCCCAAGGGUAUGGCUGUUCGCCAUUUAAAGUGGUACGCGAGCUGGGUUUAGAACGUCGUGAGACAGUUCGGUCCCUAUCUGCCGUGGGCGCUGGAGAAUUGAGGGGGGCUGCUCCUAGUACGAGAGGACCGGAGUGGACGCAUCACUGGUGUUCGGGUUGUCAUGCCAAUGGCACUGCCCGGUAGCUAAAUGCGGAAGAGAUAAGUGCUGAAAGCAUCUAAGCACGAAACUUGCCCCGAGAUGAGUUCU